AUACUUACCUGGCAGGGGUGAUUCCAUGAUCAGGAAGGUGGAUUCCCCAGGGUGAGGCUUGCCCAUUGCACUCCCGGCAGGCGUGCUGACCCCUGCGAUUUCCCCAAAUGUUUGAAACUCGACUGUGUUAUUCUUGGUAGUAGGGGACUGCGUGCGUGCUCUCCCCUG